UAAGGAAUAUUGGUCAAUGGAGGGAACUCUGAACCAGCCAUGCCGCGUGCAGGAAGACGGCCCUCUGGGUUGUAAACUGCUUUUAUUCGGGAAUAAACCACAUUACGUGUAGUGUGCUGAAUGUACCGAAGGAAUAAGGAUCGGCUAACUCCGUGCCAGCAGCCGCGGUAAUACGGAGGAUCCAAGCGUUAUCCGGAUUUAUUGGGUUUAAAGGGUGCGUAGGCGGCUUAUUAAGUCAGGGGUGAAAGACGGUGGCUCAACCAUCGCAGUGCCCUUGAUACUGAUGAGCUUGAAUGGACUAGAGGUAGGCGGAAUGUGACAAGUAGCGGUGAAAUGCAUAGAUAUGUCACAGAACACCGAUUGCGAAGGCAGCUUACUAUGGUUUUAUUGACGCUGAGGCACGAAAGCGUGGGGAUCAAACA
rnacentral:rRNA from 1 species